rnacentral:lncRNA from 1 species
UUAAUUAUAAGCCUUACACAUUCGCUUGAAUUUUUCUUUAAGCUCCGCCUUGUGCUCACUGUUUGUGAUGCGAAAAUAAUAGUCAGGAUACGUGCUUUGAUCAACACAGUUUGGAGGGGUUGAUGUUCCUAUGGCCAUGAUGGUGGCAGGGCCCUCCGCCCGUUGCGACUUCCGAAUUUCAUCAACGGUCACCAUAUUUUCUUUUUGGUGGCGGCGAAAACCAAGAAAUCAAAUCGAAGGGGUUGAGAGCUGAUCACCGUAACAGUGCCCUGGGUGGUGUAGAUGUGGCAGUGGACUAGCUGCUGGGAGAGUUAGAGAGGGAUGAGUGGGAAAUUCGGAGAGAAUGUGGUCUGUAUAUAUAGCAUAAAAGAGUGAGAGGUUAGCUGAGAUCAAAAUAAGAAGAAGAGGGGUUAGCUGAGAUGUUCACGUGCUGCAUAAAUGCCCUUCUAACCAGUCUACCGAGUAUUUGGUUGGUUUAUAUAUAUAUGCGAUUGUAAUGGAUUUAUAUCACAAAAUAAUUAAAAAUAUGGGCUUUAGUUUAUUACUAAUUUACAUGCUAGCACAUGCUAGCAGUAUACUGCAUGUCAUAUUUUUUUUUAAUAUAAUAAAAAAAAAUUAAGACAUGGAGAAUUAUUUGGUAUUAUUAAAAAUCUUAAAACUUCUCAAUUUGAUUCAUUGUCUAACGUGAGUUUAUAAUUAAAAUCAAGUGAAAUUUUGUUUCGUAUGACUCAUUUAACUUGGUGGAUCUAAAAUUAAUGCAAUUGAUCAAUAAAAAAAUCUAAAAAAAGAUUGAGAUAAAAAUGAUGAACUUUAAUGAAAAAGCCCAUCUCAACUCAAUUUCUUUCCUAGCACAAUUUAAACUUAAGUUUUUUAAAAGUUUACCUAAUAUAACCCUCUUGUUUUGGCUGAUCUAAAGACAACUUGUUCAAUCAAUAAAAUAAAUGAGAAUGAAAUUGAUGGAAAACAAUCGUUUAACUUGGCUCUUUAACUAGCUCGAGUUUAAUAUUAAACUACAUAGGAGUUUCUCCAAUAUAAUUUAAUUGACUUGACAUGUUUAUAAACAAUUCAAUUAACUACUAAAAAAGUAUAAGGAUUUAAUUGAAAAAAAAACAGAUGAAACUAAAAAAAAUGAAAAAACAAGGAUAAAUUGAAUGAAAAAAAAAACACUUCAUGUGGACUUUAAAUACUAAAAAAUAUUACAUUAAUGUCUAACUCAAUAAAAAUAAUAGUUUUGAAACUUCAUCAGGAGUCGAUCCAUGACAAUGCUUAGGUCACAUGUCACUAGUUAAGAGGGUAGACUCAGGUCGACACUAAUCUUUUUUUUUUUUUUUAAAUCAAAACAACAUUAUUAUUAUUUUUAAAAAAAGAAUCAACAAAUUAAUGGUCAUGUUUUGAUCAGUUCAAGUCAUGAUCGACCAAGGCAUCAAGUCAGAACUAAGUUAACUAGGUCAAAUCAAGCUUUUAACUGGAUCAAUUAAUUUUUUUUAUUUUUAUUCAUUUUGGAUAGGUCAAGACUCUAAAUUAACUAGGUGUUGGAUCGAUCUAACAAACCGAUUUAAAUUUUAAAAUAUUUAUAAAGAUAAGAGAUCCAAGAAGAGAAAAAGUCCUUUUAUUUACAUUUAAACCUUUUAUCUUAAGUUCUUAUUGCACUGAUUAAUAAAGAUUUGUUUUUUGAUUCAUACUAGUAAUUAUCUAUAUUUGAUUCUUCAAUCAAUGAGAGACAUGGCGCCUCAUGGAGGUUUUUUUUUUUUUGGGCAUUUAGCUAUUAAAAAUGGGAAAAAAUCUAAAAAUUGUCAAUUUGUUCGCAUCGAUUUUAGUAAGCGAGCUCCCAUUGAAAAGGAUGGGGAAAUAAUUAAUAAUGCAUGUAUAAGUUUUUUAAUCCAGCCCAAUUAGAAUCAAAUUGCAUUAUAUUGUGAGAUAAAUAAUUAAAAUUUUAUAAUCAUAAUUUUUUUUAAAAAAUAAAGAGCUAAAAUAAUCAAUAUUUUUCAGAAAAACAUAAAAUCUCAAGCGACUAGAAAAAAAAUUAAGAACUAAAAUAAGUAAUAAUUCUUAGAAAAAAUAAAACUCCAAGCGACUCAUAAUUUUAUUAAAUAUUAGGAAAUAAUUAAUAAUAAUUUAUUUGAAAACUUUAAAGUGUUUUAAGAAGAAAAUUGAAAAAUUCUCAACCAAUGUUUUGAAAUUGCAUUAAAAUACUAAUAUUUAAUUUUAUAUAAAAAGUUACAAUUUUUUAACAUGUUUGAGAAACUAAAGAUUUUCAAAAUUUCUCAACAGUUAAAAAUUUCAAAGAAAGGACAUUUUAAAAUUUUUAAGAAAUAUAAAAUUAAUUUCAAAAAAGCACAGCCCUUGAUAUUUUUAUUUCUUAGAUAUUUACAAGUUGCAGUCAACUUAAAAUAUAGUACAAUUUAAUCCAAUCUGAUGAAAUCAAUAAAAGUUUAUGAUUACAUCAUAAAAUUUGAUCAAAUGUUUUUCAUGAGGGCUCACUUGUGUUGCCCUAUGUUAUGAGAGAGAGUCAGGGAGUCAAAGGGCAAAGGGCAGCAUGCACGUGAACCAGGAACUAUGGAACGCUAGCUUCCUGUUAGGCAGGUAUUAGGUAAAGAAUGUAAGAUUCAAUUUUGUCAUGCAAAGAGAAUGCCAAAUAAUUUGUGUGAGCUUAUACUUGUCUCUCUCUCUCUCACACACACAAACACGUGCAAGCACGCGCAUAUAUAUAUAUAUAUAUAUAUGAUGAUGAACAGAUUUCUAAACAUUAUUAACAGAUGAAUAAUUCCUUUCGAGUGUCAAAUCACGAGGAAGAACUCAUCAACUUAAAGUCUCCAACCAAUCGUAUAUUUACAUGAUAGUUAGGAAAUGUAAAUUAUAGGAUUCAAACAAAUAAUAUCUUCUUUCUAAUUAACUCCUUGAUUAUUAUUAGCUGAGCUACUAGCUCAUUUGCGUAUUAGUAUAGAGUGAACUUAUAUAUAAUGAGUGUAUAAAAGCGUGGUAAUGAUUGUUUUUUAAAAUAUUUUUUCUUGGAAAUAUAUUAAAAUAAUAUUUUUAUUAUUUUUAAAAAAUUAUUUUUAACAUCAAUAUAUUAAAACGAUGUGAAAAUACUAAAAAAAAAAAACUAAUUUGAUACAAAAAAAUCUAAAAAAAAUAAAAAAAUAUUUUUAAAAUAAAAAAACAAACAAGAUUGUACUAUAUCAGAUACAAAAUUACACGAUUUUUUUUUGUUAGUGCAUGCAAUCAAUUAAAAGAAAAGUUGGUAAGCACGCACCUGAAAACAUCCGAGGGCGGCUUAGAUUUGUAGACUGAAAACCUUAGAACAUAUGUAGUCUCCUGCUUUGCAUGUGUAUUUGAUAGGUUAUUCAUGUAAUUAAAUAAAUUUGAGCUCUAGUAAUUUAAUUUAGUUUUUUUGGUUGCUAUGCAAGAGCUGGGAGAGUUUUCCAAGUGUGUACGUAAUUCAGAGUUCUAGAUCCUAGGAUAUACAAAUAUCAUGAUAUUUUUCAUAAUUAUGAUCCGGAGAUUAAUCCGGAAAAAACAUAUAAGUUAUUGAAUCAUCCACGAAUCAUCAAGUUGGUCCGUAAAUGAAACGACAUCUCAUUUCUGAAACAUCCAAAAAGACGUCGUUUCUAAUGCAAUCUUCUGAGCCAAUUAUAGUUGCCACUUGGCAAAACUUCUCAUCUCCCACCAACCAUUCAUUGUUUUCUUCUCCUUUUCAACUCCCUCUCUCCCAUCAUUUUCUCCAUUUGCAGCGUAUCUACUAAAAUAAUUAGGGUUUUUUAAGCACUGUUUAUAUGAAGAAUUCGUGUCAUAGCUCAGUUAGUUAGCUGUCUAUCUAAGCCUGGAAGUCAUGGGUUUCAGAGCUAGGGAAUCUGAUUUUUUCUUUAAAUAAACGUAAGACAUGUGCUAUCUGUAUUGUUUUUUUUUUUUUUUUUUUUAAUUAUUAAAAAAAAAAAAAAAACAAGCUCAGAUGUACAGCAUGACCUACUACCAGCGGUCAUGUGCUAUGCCUAAUUUUUUUUUUGUUUAUUUUUUUGGUAUUCUAAAUUUGAUUCAAAUUGAUUUUUUUAUUAUUAAAAUUUCUAAAUAAUUUUAUCAUGAUUUCUUUAACUUUCAAUCAUAUAUAAAAUAUCAACAUACUACUUUAAUAUUUUUUUAAAAAAUAAAAAUUAUAUUUUUUUAAUAGAAACAAUAAUUUUAGUUAAAGACUGAUAAUAUUUUCAAGUAAAUAUAUUUUUAAAAUUGAUAAUAAUAAUAUAAAAAAUAUAUACAAGACCCGUACAUUUAAAAAAAAAAAUGGUUUCCCCGUUAGCAGACGAAAUAGUAUAAUCUAUAGCUUUUUAUUUGUCUUUUGUUUUAUAUUUGUACUUCCUUCGUCGUCUUGCUUUGUUCAACGGGAACAGAGAAGGGGAUUCUGGCUGUUUUUUUUUCAACAUUUUUUUCGUUUUUUUUUUGUUAUAUUUAUAAGAUCCUAGAGUCAAUAAUUUUUCAGCAAGUAAUUCUGAUUUUAAUAAUGAAUAUUAUCUUGGAAGAGCAAAUGACCAAAUGUAAAUGAUAGAGUCGAUCAUUAUUUUAGCUUACCUGGUGCAUUAUCUUGCUUAGAAAACUACCGUUUUUUGCUUAGCAGAGGAUUCUGAUGUUUUAUUAUUUUUAAAAUUUUUCUUGAUGAUCUUGCUCUUCAUUGAUAUAUAUAUAUAUAUAUAUAUAUAUAUAUUUUUUUUUUUUUUCCUUUUAACUAAAAUAUGUUAAAGCCUUAAUUCAGUUACUUUUUGUUGGAACUAUUCAGUCUGAAUGAUGGAAAUAGAGGUUUUACGGUGAU